UAUUUCUGCUAGGGGUGCAUUGCUUUUUGCAACGCUGAGAGAUGAUUUUCAUCGACCCUCAUUACUUGAACCGGAUAAUACCGGCGUAAGGAAGCGUUUUUAUCACUCC
rfam:Roseburia sp. 831b contig000006, whole genome shotgun sequence.